AUUGAACGCUGGCGGCAGGCCUUACACAUGCAAGUCGAACGAGUGGCGGACGGGUGAGUAAUGUCUGGGAAACUGCCCGAUGGAGGGGGAUAACUACUGGAAACGGUAGCUAAUACCGCAUACCAUCAGAUCGGCCCAGUGGGGAUUAGCUAGUUGGUGGGGUAACGGCUCACCAAGGCGACGAUCCCUAGCUGGUCUGAGAGGAUGAUCAGCCACACUGUGACUGAGACAGGGCCCAGACGCCUACGGGAGGCAGCAGUAGGGAAUAUUGCAAAAUGGGCGCAAGCCUGAUCCAGCAAUGCCGCGUGUGUGAAGAAGGCUUUCGGGUUGUAAAGUACUUUCGUCGGGGAGGCGUUACCUAACGAAGAAGCACCGGCUAACUCCGUGCCAGCAGCCGCGGUAAUUC
rnacentral:rRNA from 1 species